rnacentral:rRNA from 1 species
GCCGGCAGCUAGCUCUCUGCAACUCUCACAUGGUCGCCCACUGAAGCUAAGCAGGGCUGCGCCCGGUCAGUACCUGAAUGGGAGACCACAUGGGAAAGCUAGGUUGCUGCCGGAA